AGUGAACGCUGGCGGUAGGCCUAACACAUGCAAGUCGAACGGCAGCACAGUAAGAGCUUGCUCUUACGGGUGGCGAGUGGCGGACGGGUGAGGAAUACAUCGGAAUCUACUUUUUCGUGGGGGAUAACGUAGGGAAACUUACGCUAAUACCGCAUACGACCUACGGGUGAAAGCAGGGGAUCUUCGGACCUUGCGCGAUUGAAUGAGCCGAUGUCGGAUUAGCUAGUUGGCGGGGUAAAGGCCCACCAAGGCGACGAUCCGUAGCUGGUCUGAGAGGAUGAUCAGCCACACUGGAACUGAGACACGGUCCAGACUCCUACGGGAGGCAGCAGUGGGGAAUAUUGGACAAUGGGCGCAAGCCUGAUCCAGCCAUACCGCGUGGGUGAAGAAGGCCUUCGGGUUGUAAAGCCCUUUUGUUGGUAAAGAAAAGCGGCAGGUUAAUACCCCGCUGUUCUGACGGUACCCAAAGAAUAAGCACCGGCUAACUUCGUG
rnacentral:rRNA from 1 species